rnacentral:misc_RNA from 1 species
GUAGUUGUGAUGAGUUUUCUAUAAUUCACUCACUCUUACAAUCAAGGAUUUAUAAGCUGUUACCUUGGUAGUUGGAGACUAUUGUUAUUACGUUAGUUAUCCUUUGUACGGUUUUAUAGCGUAGUGCAUUUUUAAAGAGGGAUGAAAGAUGAAGUGCUGUGAAAAUGCGAUAGUGAAAAGAGUGAAUCGAAAUUGGUUUGAAAAAUUAUUUUAUAGCAGCAUUCAUAAAUGUAAUCACUGCGGUAAGGUGUUUAAACUUAAAGCGGGCUAAGUAUUAUUAAAAACAAAGAUUAGAGAAUAACAGUUUAAUAAUAACAACGAACUGAAAGGUCGUUUAUGAAGGUCAUAUAGAGCUCAGGCUUAAUUCGAUCAAUUAUUGGUAUUCGCUUUCUGCAUCCCAUCUAAAUUCAAUCAUUCUUGUUCAUACACUAUGUUAUAAGCGACAUCAGUUGCUUUUGAUUUCAAGCUUUCAUC